rnacentral:lncRNA from 1 species
UAACUCUGUGCUGCAGCCCACUAUCGCCUAACCGUUGCCCUUGCUGUAUUGUUUCUCGCCGGCGACCACCAGAGCCACGCCGUGUGCUUGCGCCUUCCAGCAAGUCAUGCAUGUUUGCCUAUGUGCUUCACUGGCUUGAUCAACACGUCAUCCGCACCUUGGUAUUAGUUCUUCUACAAUAUAUCAUUCUUUAUGCCUCCAUGCACUCAUUCAUGACAUUUAAUAUUCAGUCCAUCAAUCAUGAAUUAGCUUAUAAAAUUUCAUGUGCAGCAACGUAUUAUCUCUCCUUUACUUUGCCCCAUAAAUAAAUUCCUAAAGCUUUAAUCUCACGGUUUCCUUGUUUUAGCUAUAAUUCCAUCUCCUGAUGCUGCGUUAAGAUUGUAUCAACGUAGAUCAUGAGUUAGCCGCAAUAACCUCUCGUAUGUUAAUUUAUUAACUUGACUAGUGUGCAUGUAGCUGGUUUUUUUUUAAUUUUAAAAAGCGACACAAGUGUUACCCUCUAGUAUUUUUAUAAUGCGAUUAAUUAAUUACCUUUCUAUAUAAAAUCUUAGAAAAUUCAUAUCUCCUCCGUUUUAGCUUCGAUUUUCGUGAUCUUUACGUCCGCGAGAUCGUAGCGCUGCGUAGAAUCUUUUUAUGAACUCUCUAUACUGUUUUUAUAUGAUUGGUGUACUGUUCUAAUUGUAGUCUUGUUUGCUUCGUGUAUGUUGUCUCCGAUUGUUUGUGUGUUGAUGAUCAAUGAUCGAGUUUAGUCGGUAAACAAUUCAUGGUGAACAAGAGUACUUCAGUGAUCAAGAUCUGAGCCUUGGACAACUAGUGAGACCAGCAGGAUAAGCAAGAGCAAUUGGAUUAAGGCAAGUAUAGUAUUUGGGUUUUAUUUCUGUGACCAUGAUCCUGUGACUAGAUUAAUGUUAAGUAAUAAAUGAUAAAAAUGACUUUUUAGCCACUUGAUGAUUUGUCUGUACGUGAUCACCCGGGACAACAGUGCAACCAUGAGGGCUAUAAUGGCUCUGGCUUUAGCUCAGUAUGAAGACCUUUUCUAGCUUGUUAGAGGUUACCCGAAAGGGCGGAGGGGCUGAACCGUUUUGGGUAUAGUGUGGCCUCUGUCUGUAUGUGUAUAGGCUGCGCGUCAUUGUGCCAUCGGAAGGGGGGCUCUAUAUCUGCGCGCAAAGGAAACCUUGCGGCCCUAACAUGUUAGACGAACUUUUGAAAGGCUUCAUAGUGAUCCCUGCCGACCUUCCUUGGUAGUGGGUUAAGAGGUCGACGGGCCUCGGGCGAAAGGGUAAAUCAUGACUCAUGGGUAAAGAUGUACAACCUCUGCAGAGUGUUAAAACUAGUAUACUAGCCGAGCUCACGGUCAGGAGCGGCCUUGGGGACAUCUACAUUAAGGGUGAUGAAUCUUGUGUGUUAAAUAUGCUCAUUGUUUAUUGUUUAAUGCUUUACAUUAUUUAUGUCACAUCGAUCAUGAGAUUGUGGGAGCUAUACAAUCUAGUUGCUAUACUUGUGGAGUUCGACAUGGACUCACUCUUGCUAUCUCCCCCACCCUUCAGGAGAAGUUUAGGCUUGCGAUCAACCAGUCAGUUGGAUCCGGUAGAGUGAAGUUAAUACCCGAAGUUUGGAGUUGUUUAUCCGAUGUUUGCUAUCAAAGGUUAUCUCUUUUAUACUAAGUGCGUUAUAUUUUUUUGCAUUGUCUUUUGAUAUUACCCCUUAUUUGUAGCUAUAUGUGAGAUUUAACCUCUAAGACUCACAUAUGGUGCAUAUCUGGUUUUGUCCUUAAAAUCGGGUAUUACAAAGUGGUAUCAGAGCAAUGCUGACUGUAGGACGCAAGCCUAGUUAGAAAUUGGUCGUCUUAAGGUUUUGAAAUUGCUAUAAAAUUCUUGCUCUACAAACCUUGGUAUUUUCGUCUAUACUAUAUCUCUAUCCUUGCUAUUUGUCUCUACCUUGUUGCUUAGUUUAAAAGUACUUGUUCUCAUCUUCACUCCUUGAUUUGAUAUGCUUUUAGAACUUUUUCUUACCACCUUCUGGCAUCGUUGGAAUAGGUGUUUUAAGAUAUCUACCCUUACUAUGAAGAGAACGAUAGUAUCGCAAAUUGAGUGAAGUGUGCUUAGUUGGUUUGUUAUUAUGCUUAUGCUUGAUUUGGAUCUUUGUAAUGAUUGCAAUGAUCUUGUGGGAUUUCUCCACAAUUUCAUUAGUUUAUAGACCUAAGGCAUAAGGAUUAAUGAAAUAAGUAGUUGGGUUUGGCUAUCUCUUGUUCCUAUCCCUUGCUGAUUUCUGGAGCAGUCUGCGAUGAUUCUGGUGUACCUCAAGUUUUGAUCGUGCAAAGUAUAUCAACUUUUUCUGGGAACAACUAGACUUCAAGAUCUUUCUCUGACCGCAAGAAUCACCCCCAUAUCUAUUUUGGAAUUGGAGUUAUGAAAAUCACAAGUUGAUGCAGCUGCGCUGUCAAGAAUCUGUACCAGUUUCGGUUGCUUACUGUUUUAGACAUAUAUAACUAUAGAAUUUGGAAAAGUAUUCUAUAGAAAAUUUGUAGACAAUUUUCUAUUCUUUCCAACGGUAUAAGCUGGAACUUAUUUGGAUAAGUAGAACUUGAGAUUAUGAUACUUAUACUCGGAUGUUUCUGUUCUGCUUCAAAAUCUGGACAGAUCUGGUAUUUCUAAUUUUUCAGCCAAGUUAAAGACAGAAUCUGGGAAAACGUGGUAUACGAAACUUGUAGAGAAUUUCCCAACCUUUUCAAAAAUGUAAGGAUCAUCUCCAGAUGAGUUAAGGAGCUCUAGAUAUAACUUCUGGAAGUUACUGCACCUUUGCUGAGACAUUAUCAGGAAGGAGAUUAUGUUUGGUUGUUUUACCUAAGCUUAAAGACAGAACCUAAGGAGGUCUUCUACAUGAAAGUGGUAGAGAAUUUCAUAAGUUUUCUAACGGUAUAAGCUACAACUCUAUUGGAUUAACAUAAUAAGAGUUAUACUUGUUUUACUACGCUGGUGUUUUCAUAUCACGAGAAGAUUUCAGGAUACCUGUUUGUUCUCUUGCACCUAAGUUCUUUGGGAUGUCAGGAGUUCUCAAUGUUAGUUAACUUGUCUGAAAAACAUGCAAGCUACCUUUCUUGUGCCCUAGUUGACUUUUCAUAAGGGGGGUAGCCUAGUUAAAGAAGUUACAAGGAGAAUGAUUGGUUAAUGUUGGAUCAUAUGUUAGGAUCACAAAUGUUUGGUGAAUUUGGUUUUGUUCCAAGGUAUCAACCCACUUGGAGAAUAUAAUUGGAGGUUUAUGUCAUUACUGAUACUCACAGACUAAGAGUUGCGUAUGAAGAUCAGAUGAUACCAAAUUCUACAAAGCUUUAUGUACAAAGUGAGAGUGAACAACUUAACUGUGAUAAACUGUGAUAAAGGUACUAACAAUUGGAACUUAGUCAUGAAGCCAACCUUGGAUCAAGAGACUCGGUACAACAAAUUUUAAAGACUAUAUGAUGUGUAGCAUUUAAAAAGGUUAUGAGGACUAGUCCCUAAUGUCUCCCCAAUCAAUCUCAUCUUAAGGGGGUAGCCUAGAUAAGAAGGUUGCUAAAUGAAGGUUCCAUGCGUUCUAGUACCUUAGUUGGAAGUAUCUUUUAUGCCUCUGGAUGAGAAGUCAAUAUCAUGUGUAGGUAUUACCCUUGUUUGAGCUAUGAGUAAAAAAAAAACCUUAUCUAUACAAUGUGCACUACUGAACUCUUGGAAACAAUUGAGGGAGAUGUUCGGAGUGACGAAAGCAAUGGAAUGGCUACUAAGGAGCUACUCGAGGAAGUGAAUAAGGUUCAAAAGUGGAGUGUCCAUGUUUCUUUGAUCACCAUCUUUCGAAUCUCGAGGACGAGAUUCAUCUUAAGGGGGGUAGAAUUGUAACACCCUAAAAUUUGCUCCUUUCAAAAUAGAUGAAAAUCGAUUUAGUUUUGUAUUUUUUUUUUGUGCUCAUGAAAAUAUAGGAAAAAAAUAAUAUUUUUCAUUAGAUUAAAGUUUAUCAUAAGGCUUAGCAACAUGGUUGUGUAUACAUGCUGAUGCAUAUGAUUUUGGGUGAUGUCUGCUUAUUGCUCCUUUGUGUGUUGAUAGUAAGAAAAAUAUUUAAAAUACAUUUAGUAGAUCGAUCUUCCUUAUUCGUAUUUAUCUUUUUCUACAAUCAAAUUCCUUGUCUCUUAGCUCAAGAUUUCGGUCAGGGUCUCUCAGAAUCUUUUCUUUCAAACCUAAGUCACUCGUUUGAGUUUCUCGUCCAUUAAGCAAUAUCUACAAACUUCUCGGGUAUUUUUCUAGCCUUUUCUAUGAGCAUAAAUCUAAUUUUAGAUGCCCCAAAUUAUCUCAUCAUAAGCUCCAAAUACUUUAUUUGGAUUCCUCAUGUUCUAUAAUAUCUCUGAGAAUUUUUCCCAAAUUUUCGAAGCUUUCGGAGUAUUUUUCGUGGCUUAACUACUAAUUAUGAACUUUUCUAGAAUUAUUUUAUCCAUGAAAAUAAUUAAUUUCGAAAAUAAUAAUUUCUUCAUUUUACUCAAAUCCAACGUCAUCAUGAUUCAAAGACCAAAUGUUUUAUUUACUAAUGGGCUUUAAUAAUUAAUUAGGCCUAUUAGUAAAGAUGAAGGUUGCAAAUCAAUUAGUACCAUAUCGCUAGUUGACGUGGAGCUGUGGAGUUUCUCUCCCUAUAUAUUUGUACCAACCCUUAGGUUGAGCACACCAAAACUACCAUAUGAGGAGCCUCUAGUUUGGGAAAUCUCUCGUGUAGUAAAUUAAAUUUUUUUCAUCAGUCCUCGACCUCGGCUGCUCAUCUUGUCAAAGUCCAUCCUGUCUUCUUCAGCCAUGCCUAAUCAUCAACGUUACCCAUUCAUAAUUGAUCGUUGGUAAGCAUCUCAUGUUAUCCUUUCUCUCUGUUAAUUGCACCAUGCCCUGCUGUCACCAUUUAAUUUAACUCUGUGCUGCAGCCCACUAUCGCCUAACCGUUGCCCUUGCUGUAUUGUUUCUCGCCGGCGACCACCAGAGCCACGCCGUGUGUUUGCGCCUUCCAGCAAGUCAUGCAUGUUUGCCUAUGUGCUUCACUGGCUUGAUCAACACGUCAUCCGCACCUUGGUAUUAGUUCUUCUACAAUAUAUCAUUCUUUAUGCCUCCAUGCACUCAUUCAUGACAUUUAAUAUUCAGUCCAUCAAUCAUGAAUUAGCUUAUAAAAUUUCAUGUGCAGCAACGUAUUAUCUCUCCUUUACUUUGCCCCAUAAAUAAAUUCCUAAAGCUUUAAUCUCACGGUUUCCUUGUUUUAGCUAUAAUUCCAUCUCCUGAUGCUGCGUUAAGAUUGUAUCAACGUAGAUCAUGAGUUAGCCGCAAUAACCUCUCGUAUGUUAAUUUAUUAACUUGACUAGUGUGCAUGUAGCUGGUUUUUUUUAAUUUUAAAAAGCGACACAAGUGUUACCCUCUAGUAUUUUUAUAAUGCGAUUAAUUAAUUACCUUUCUAUAUAAAAUCUUAGAAAAUUCAUAUCUCCUCCGUUUUAGCUUCGAUUUUCGUGAUCUUUACGUCCGCGAGAUCGUAGCGCUGCGUAGAAUCUUUUUAUGAACUCUCUAUACUGUUUUUAUAUGAUUGGUGUACUGUUCUAAUUGUAGUCUUGUUUGCUUCGUGUAUGUUGUCUCUGAUUGUUUGUGUGUUGAUGAUCAAUGAUCGAGUUUAGUCGGUAAACAAUUCAUGGUGAACAAGAGUACUUCAGUGAUCAAGAUCUGAGCCUUGGACAACUAGUGAGACCAGCAGGAUAAGCAAGAGCAAUUGGAUUAAGGC